GAGGCCGUGGAAGCCGCGGCGGCGCCGCGGCCGCUCUUCUCCUUCCGUUUCUUCUUGUCCCGCUUGGCGAAGAAGUCGUCGAGGCUCCUCUCCUCGGUCUCCGCCAUGGCGGCGGCGGGGCCGGGUGCCGCUCCUAACGGCGGCAGGAGGAGGCAGGAAGCGGCCGGGCCGACAGGCACAAUUGCAUCAGUGGAGAACAAAUUCCACAGUGAAGUCUCGUUCUCUGUGUCCAUAGGAGCACCUGGUCUCUCACAUUGCCCUCCUCAGCUGGUAGAAAGUUGCUAAGGACAGCAUCCCCAGCUGUCACUGCACUGGAGCAGUACAAUGAUUCCUGGAGUAAAGGGAAACACAGGGAAGAGAUCCUGUUUGGAGCCAGGGCGCUCAGCGUGGCAUAUCUGCAUGGAAGCUGCAGGAGGACAUCAGUCUUUGCAUUAACAUUAACUACCAUGGCUAAGAGAAUAUAUUAGCAACAGCUUCACUAAAGGUUUGGAGUCGGUCCAGCUGUGAUAUAUUUCCAGAAACAGGAGAAGGAGCAGUGCAAGACUCAGCCCUAAUCUGAAGCAGAAGAAGUGUACAUCAUCUGUGUGCUCACUGGAGCACAGGAGCAGCUGAGCAUAAAGAGCCUUUCUGCACGGAACAGCCGCUCUCUGCAGAGCAUGAUUGAAGGCCGUGUAUGGUGACAGUAGUCCUUGGGAGCUAUUUUUAAAAUGAUCUCCAGAAACAAAAUAAAUGUAUAUGUUUUUUAAAAUGAAACAUUACAAGGAAUUGUUGGAAACCAAAACAAGUGAUGCUAAGCUUUAACUUGAGCAAGGGCUUUCCUCUGGUUUCUUACUGCUCUACAGAAUGGCUCCCUCCCUAAAACCCCUGUGAUCCAAGAGGAUUGUACAUGCAGCACUGAACUGUCCUAACAUCUCUGUCUCAUCAUCUAUCCCAGACCUUGAUGCCUGUGUGGACAGAGACAUGGAUGAAGGAGAAAGGGCGUUGCUGGAAAGCCAUACUUCUGGGUUCUUGGAAUGGCUGCAAGAAAGACGUGCCCAAGGAGAGACUGAGUCACGCUGGAGACAGCUGCUCUGCUUCAUUUCUGCAUGAAAGGGAAAUGUUUUAAAUCUCACUCCCUUGAUGGGUCCAGAACAGUAAUGGCCUGGGCAGGAAGAGGGUAGAUCAAGCUUUGGGCUACACUCAACACACAAGUUUUUCCUACUUGCUGCCAUGCAGCCCAAAUAGCAGCCUGAGAGAAGAACCACCCUGAGAUCCUAGCAGGGAUGACACCAGCAUGCUGCUACAGAAAUUAGUCUUUAAAAUCCUUCAAAUUUUAAUAAAGGUCAGUAUCUUCUUCUACAACAUGCUAACAUUUGUCCUGUGUGACUCAACGUAGGCUUUUAACUCCACAAUGCACUAGCUUUUCCACUAAAGACUGAAGUCAAGAGUCAAUGGAUCAUUGCUCUCCAGUCACACAGGGAUGAAUGGGUGGAUGGAAGAAGAUCGUUUGCCUUUUCUUGCAGCAUGAUUUGUGGGAUUUGAUCUGACCCAUCAUUUUGGAUUUCUGGCACAGGCAACCCAAAUUUGGCCAUCUCACAUGCAACUGAGAGCAAAAGAUCAGACCCUUAGCUCAAUGAGUCGUUUGGCCCUAUGAAAUCCAAAAAGCACAGACAACAUGGAGCCAUCCUGGGGCUGGCUCUGUAGCUGGAAAGUUGCAAGGCCAAGAGCACUUCAUUGUUGGAUGAUAUUUUUACGACUCAAAGUCAGAAGUGCAGAGCAACCCCUUUGGAGCUCCAGCCUAACAGCUGCAGCACAGGUCAUUAAUGGGAUCACGUCAAAACGUGCUCUGCCCUACUGUUGAGCUACCAGCCUUGAACAAACACACUGAUUGCAAGGAGAAAGAGGAAAGGGAAGAGAUAGGGGAAGGGAGAAGCUGAAUAAUAUUUUUAGAUGACAGGACAAAAUAACCAAUUGUAAUCUCAAUUUAAAAAAAAGAGUCACCCAUUCAUUGUCAGCAAUGAAUCUGAUCAAACUCAACCUCCACAGAAUAAUUGAUGCUGAUGGGGAUUACGCAAAUGCCGUUCUUAACAAAUGCCUGACGGUGUACAUUUACAUUUCUUUCAGUGAGGUGGAUAUGAUUACGCUGAAGAGUCGUCUUGUCCAAAGAAGAAAUCUGUGGAUUGACAAUCCAUCCCUCCUGCGUACUCACAGGCACGGGCAGGUGACAGCAGCAGUUGUGGGGGAAAAAGGCUGGGCACAUCUGUGUUAUUUUUAUUAGCAUACACAUUAUAUGUGAUACUUUGAUACUUCACUUUUGCUAUUGAUAAACAGACUGGAAAAAAAAUGUUGUCUUUCAUAGUUUAGAUCCAAGCCCCUCUUCCAGUAAGCACAUUAAGAUCUUUCAACAGUCAAAAGUUAGAAAAAACUAUUGAUGCUGUCUGCACAAGAAAGACAGUCCCAAGAAUCAGGUGGAGCACGCUGAGAUGGUCUGAAAUGUCCAAGCAUUGCGCUCUCCUUUGGGACAGCAGAUAUAAAUCCAGAUUUGCAAGACUACUUGUUAAAACUGUAAAAGACCCCGGGCCAAACUGUCUCAUAGGAUGCAGCAUGAUCCAGACCUACAGCAAAAUCUCAUACUGAGUAAGCACGGUAUACAGCUUAUGAAGACAGAAGACAUUUAAAAGGAUGACUGCUCAUUCAAAGUGAAGCCACAAUCAGAUUUACUUACCUCCAAACGUACCUCACAAUGACUGAGGCUCGGCUCGGUCAAGUGCUCUGACCGGUUAACAAGAAGCAAAAUAAUCUGGAACAGAAUGGAUGAGACUCUACGUUGAUGCACCAACCUGAGCUAAACCCUGCUGCUGGCUGAGCAGAGCACUGCUGCAAGGGAUGGCAGAGAAGAGCUUUCCUAAGCUCACCUGAUACAGCACACGACAAUCCCAAAAUGGGCAGGGACUGGAAAAAUCCACUCUCUGUAAAUAUGCUACAGAUAGAAGAAGUUUUAGCAUGUCUAUUCCUUUUAACCAUUUGCAGCUUAUCAUCCCAGGAUACAGGGGCAAUUUACCGAAGGGCUCCUUUGGUGAAACUUUGUGGCAUUUCAUUUGAGGCCUCAGAUUGACAGAAACAAUGUUUCCCUAAUGAAAACCCCAUACCAAAGGCUGCCUCAAACCCACUCAAUGGAUGUAUGUGACUGAUCUCACAACAUUUCUGUUUAAUCAAAUACAAUCCAUGCAUGUGUUCUGCAUUUCUAAAGAAAGGCAGACUUUCCCAGGUACAUCUUUCUCCGUGUCACUAACAUGUAAUAUCAAAGCCCCAAACUGACACAUAAAUGACAGCAUUAACUCUUCAGUUACUGCUGACUGGAAUGGGGAGGACCAUUAUAGAGAUCUCUGCAGAUAGCAGGUGGAAAGCAUUGCUGUGGGGAAGGAAAGGAAGAAGGAAGGACAGAGGAGAUGUUUUAGGACAGGGGGGAGGGAGAAAGAUGGAGAUAGGAAUAGGCAGGGAAAUAGAGAAAAAUGAAAUGGUAGAGCGUGUGUAUUUUCUAACAGUAAUAUUGGAUAUGAGAAAUAAAUGGAUACGGGGAAUAAAGAACAUUAUCUGCAAUUGUUGUAUUUCUGAUCAUCGUGCUAGCCUCCCACUGAUAUGGCUGAGAUACUUCCUCUGAGCUGAGUGCACAUUAUUUGUACUUCAACUCACAGAUUGGCAUCAGAGCACGAGUUGGGCCUUUCAGGCAGAAUAAAUCUGACAUUCUUCCUUUCGAUCUCUGUUUAGCAUUUGAGGAAAAAAAACCAAACUUUUUCAUAAAUAUGUACAGGAUGUGCCAAGAUGAAUCUGCCUUCAGGAUGGCAUUUUGGUGGGACUGCACUGCUGCAAUUCAAAGCAGAAUUUGGCCUUCGACUCUAAUUGCUCCCAACUCUAGAAGUACUGAAUUGAUUUUAUUCAGACAUGAACUGUUUUCUCCUUCAUCACCGAGGUCUAUAAAACAAGGCGAGUUCAAAUUUCCUAGCGUCAGCUCUUCUUGAGUUAUGAGGGCAGAGAAGCUGCAACCGGAACAAAUAGGAGUAGCUGGUUUCUCUUCACGCCCACAUAUCAUAAAAACAGCCAAGCUGAUUUUGCUGAGAGUUCUCAAAAAUAUUCACCUAUAGGCUGGAGUCAAGCCUGAGAAGUACCUUGCCCCACCUGAGGAAUGUGCUUUGGGAAAUCUGGUGCAGCUGAAAAAUGGAGGGGAGCCUGGCAACAGAAACUGAGCUGAAGCUGUAAUUGUGGUUUACUUUCACAGGACUAAUAAACAAUUCUCAAUUCUUGGCCAUAAAUCAGCUUUGUAAGGAUGCAACUUGUUCCUGAGUGGGCCUGUGGCUUUCUCCUUUCCUAGAAGAGACAGUUUUGCUCCGAGAUCACAUAAUCAUAGGCUGUUUGGGGUGAUUUUAAUCUGUUUCAUAUGUCUGGCAGACACAACUCUGCCGUGAUGACCACUGGGAACAUCUGCAUGGCUUUACCCAGCUCCUCACUCCCCGCCAGCUUCAGCAGAAGCUGAAGCUGAACCUCUCUUUCAGGUUCAGCCUCGCAGCCAGAACCACACGAGCUGCUGCAAAGCCUGUCCUGUGGUUUUAUCAUCACCCAACACAAUGAUGGCUUUUACAUCAAGACACGUCUUGAUCCUAUCACUCCUUCAGGCACUGCAGGGACACUGCAGUUGUUGUGACUUGCUAACCCACUCAUUUUUCAAGAAACAUUUGAGCCCACGCUCAUCUUCUGCAACUUUGGAAAGAGCAAAAUAGAUUUAUUAAAAUUUGAGCCUGUGGAAGCAAAAGCCCAGGUCUGUCUGCUCAUAAUGGAGGAUGCUGCUUCAAAUAGGAAUUCAAGCUUGGUGCCUAAAAAUUGACCUCCUUUGUUGCACAUGAUGCACAGAAUAGCAGCAAAGGACGUUUUGGUUCUAGAUGUUCUUGUUUGGCUCAAAAAUAUUUGCACUUAAAAAUGUUCUGAGCAUCACGGCACGCACAUCCUUAGCCAAAGGCACUGAUUACAGAACACCAUGUAUGCUACCCUGCUUCAUGUGUCACUCCCAGGACAGGGAGUCUCCAGCAGAGCGUGCAGCCACUGAAGAUAUCACAUGGGGCCACCAUGUGAAAACAUGUCAUUACUCAGUUGUCACGCUGUCAAACGCUGCAAGCACUCACUGCUCUAGUGAGCCAUGAAUGACUCGGUUUGAUCCCGAUCAAGCUCUUCUGGCAGACACAGGAAUACCGAGGCAGAAGUGCCCAUACCAAAGGAUGCCGAGUUUUGGGGGCAAUCAAGGGCAAGUACUGUGGGCAGAAGACAGCAUUUCCUCAAGGACCCAGGGCAGAAAGGUGUCCUUUAGCAUUUAAAGCCAUGCAGGAACACAAUACUUAUGAUGGAAAGUGACUAUAAUGUGAGUAUGCCAUAACCGUAAGUAGCAUCUGGUUAGAAAAGAAGCUGAUAUGAGGUAUAAAGAAGAUAUUUUACACAUGACAGAGGUAAUAAAUCUGCAGUUUGCUGGAGGAUUUAGAUCCAACUGGAGAUAAAUUCAUUGUGGAUGUUUUUAAAGUAUGGUAUAGCUCCAUUAAGAAAGGACUCAGAGUUGGAAGUGUUCCUGGUUCAACUGGUGAUAUCACAGCUGUGUCACAGAUGGAUGCCAGCAAUCAGUUUGCUGGUUCAGAUGGGAAGUGCAUUGCAUGAGCAGUGUUGCUACAUCCUCCAUUAAAAUGCAGACCCUGAUUCAGUGGCAAAGAAUGACAGAACCAUGGCUGACUGCAGAGUGGUCCCUCAAUGUCAGUGGGAAAUGCAGAGGAAAGAUACUAUGGUGACAUCUUCAUAACAAGAUUAUUGCAGGAAGGAAACUGCCAUGCAGAAGGAAGACAAGGACCACGCAAUGACUGGGAAUGCUGGUGAAUAUCUAGGAUGACUCUGAGUUCAAUAAGAUUCAGAUUUCUUUAAGCUGCAGAGACUCAGAGUCUGAUCCUCAGGCCACCAGCAUCUGUGGAAGGUUCUCCAGCAAUCUAAAGCCUUAACUUAGGUCUCAUUUUAUACCUGUGCCCUGUUCUGUCUCUGCAGAACAGCAGUGGCUCAGACUGCCCUAAUCCUUGUCAAAGGGACUAAACUUGCCCAGAAGUCAGCAGCCCCAAGUUACAAGGGUUCAGUAGAGCUGGAUGCUGAGCCAGAUGCUAACUGCUGCCUGCAGCCAGCUGCACUUCCUCCAGCUGCUGCAGCUCUCAUCUUCUCUCAGAGCAGCAGCACCAGCCCUGGUGAGAUGACAGCUCCUCCUGCUUUCACUUGGUUACUCAUUUUCUAGCUCUCCCAAUGCUUACUGGGGUUCUCAGUCCUCAGAGUGUAUCAGUCCCAGCUGACAGCAUCCCACAGUGAAGGUAAUCACUCCUGAUGCUUAUUGUAAUCACCAGUAUUACUGUUUUUGGCUACAGAUAUUUUUCCCCAAUGAAUGCUGACUUGCCUCUUUCCCUUCUGCCACUUUGCUUAAGUCACACGUGCCCUCAGAGGAAAACGUGGCAGCAUCAUGAACAGGAGCAGAGAGCUCUGUCAUAAGGAGAGCUGGGAUGCAACGUGAUUAUCAUGUUAACCGCUUCACUGCCCUUUGGAUGCUUGGCUCACAUUCAGCAAAGUGACAUCAAUACGGUGC